CCUGCAAUAUCGGCAGCGUAUCAAAUACUUGUUCUCCCCACUGUAAGUUUGAUCACAAAGAAGAACAUUUGUCAGAUGCAGACCAAAUGAAAAGAUGCUGGAGGAGUGAUUGACGCCAUCUGUCAAGCAUGGUGGAGGCAAUGUGAUGGUCUGGGUGUGCUUAGGUGGUGGUAAACGAGGAGAUUUGUACAGGGUAAAAGGGAUCUUAAAGAAGGAAGGCUAUCACUCCAUUUUGAAACACAAUGCCAUACCCUGUGGAUGGCUCUUGAUUGCAGCCAAUUUCCUCCUAAACAGGACAAUGACCCAAAGCACAGCACCAAGCAGGAAGCAUUAAGCUGGUACUCUGUCUAUAAUGGAGUGGCCAGCACAGUCACUGGAUUUCAACCCCAUUGAGCUGUUGUGGGUGUAGCUUGACCGUACAGAACGUAAGAAGUGCCCAUCAAGCCAAUCCAACUUGUGGGAGGUGCUUCAGGAACCAAGCCCCUAACGUUUUGUGACCAAGGGCAUUGAAGAAUGGGAGGGAAUCUGGAGGGAGAAUGAGUGGUUAAGGAAAAUAUGCCGUCGAUAUUAGGAAGCAAUGAAGCAGGAGCCGUUUGGGUCUCCAUGAUCUUUGCCUUUCCUGAGGGACUGUUCUCUGACCUUCACACGUUCAACAUUGACCAAUGACUCUUUUGUGAUGUGUGAACAACACCUUAAGAUCCAUUCCAUGGCCUUCUUUCUCAUCUUCUAUAUAAUCCCACUCCUCAACAUUUCUGUCUACUGCUGCUUCAAUUGCUCUGAAUUGCCUCUGAAAUACUUUUACACAAUCCAAUGACUGGUGAGGGAAUUUGUGUUGUCUAGUGUAUUCGUAGAGUGUGUUUUUGCAGCUUCAAUAGCUGGUGUUCUGUAGUGAAAUUAGUUUCUUCCUCUCGUUAAAACCAUAUAUGACUACUACCAGCUAAUCACCCUCUACUGUUCCACUGUAAAAUAAAGCUUUUCCCCUCUUCUAUACUUUUUCAAGUGAACACCGUAUGAGAGCAAACACUUGUUUUCACACAUUCUAAACGAAAAAGCAUGUGGCUCUCCUUAGGAGCAGUUUACUCUACAGCUGGAGUCCAGGGGAUCUGUCAGCUUCCCUUCCUUUCCACUAAUGAAUCUCAUAGAUUAUCCGGAUGAAUAUGCAGAAGAAGAUAGGGAUGAAGGUGGGGAGGAAGAUGGGGAUGAAGAUGGGGACAAAGAUGCAGAUGAAGAUGGGGAUGAAGAUGCGGAUAAGAUGGGGAUGAAGAUGUGGAUGUAGAUGAAGAAUGGGGAUGAAGAUGCGGAUGAGAUGGGGACGAAGAUGGGGACGAAGAUGCAGAUGAAGAUUUGGUUGAAGAUGCAGAUGAAGAAUGGGGAUGAAGAUGCAGAUGAGAUAGGGAUGAAGAUGAAAAUGGAGAUGAAGUUGCAGAUGUAGAUUGGGAAGAAGAUGCAGAUGAAGAUGGGUAUGAAGAUGUUGAUAAAGAUGUGGUUGAAGAUGGGCAUGAAGAUCAAGGGGAGGAAGUGACUGAUGACAGUGCUCAGAAAACUUUCACAUUUGUGUGCAGUCUACAGAAACCUAACUUGGUGCUGUUGAAUGCAUUUGUUGUAGUGUCAAAUUCACAGUUAUUUUAAUCUUUUAAUUUUAAUAAAGGAAGUUACUGACUCCUGUUCCAAUUUCAUCUCUCAAUGAAUCUGACUGCUUACGCAAUACUUUCUUUCUG
ensembl:lncRNA